AUGGCCUCUGUUGUGGCUGUCUCUGAUGGUGUCAUCAAGGUGUUCAACGACAUGAAGUUGUGUAAGUCUUCAACACCAGAGAAGUUGAAGAAGCGCAAGAAGGCGGUGCUCUUCCGCCUGAGUGAAGACAAGAAGAACAUCAUCCUGAAGGGGAGGGCAAGGAGAUACUGGUGGGCAAUGUGGACCAGACCAUCGACAACCCCUAUGCCACCUUUGUCAAGAUGCUACCGGAUAAGGAUUGCCUCUACGCCCUCUAUGACGCAACCUAUGAGACCAAGAGAGCAAGAAGGAGGACCUGGUGUUUAUCUUCUGGGCCACUGAGUCUGUGCCCCUUAAGAGCAAAAUGAUCAAUGCCAGCUCCAAGGACGCCAUCAACAAGAAGCUGACAGGAAUCAAGCAAGAAUUACAAGCAAACUACUAUGAGGAGGUCAAGGACCACUGCACCCUGGCAGAGAAGCUGGGGGGCAGUGCCAUCAUCUCCCUGGAGGGCAAGCCUUUGUGA
rnacentral:lncRNA from 1 species